rnacentral:misc_RNA from 1 species
GUCAUUUAAUGGGGUCUGCUUCGCAGGCUUGUACCUUUGGAUUCUCCUUAGCGCCAAGGAAACAGGAAUUGAAGUCUGACAGCGGUGAUCACAUCGUGAGUAACGGCUUGUAAUCCAUUUUCAUGGUAACUGAGCUGUAGAGGAACGUUCCCGUCCAUGCGUGACUAGGGUCUAGGGUGAUCGUGUAUACUUAUUGCAUAUAAAAAUUAAUUUAAAAA